rnacentral:rRNA from 1 species
AUUGAACGCUGGCGGCAGGCCUAACACAUGCAAGUCGAACGAGUGGCGGACGGGUGAGUAAUGUCUGGGAAACUGCAUGAUGGAGGGGGAUAACUCCAGGAAACGGUAGCUAAUACCGCAUACCAUCAGAUGUGCCCAGAUGGGAUUAGCUAGUAGGUGGGGUAAUGGCUCACCCAGUCGACGAUCCCUAGCUGGUCUGAGAGGAUGACCAGCCACACUGGAACGUAGACACGGUCCAGACUCCUACGUGAGGGAUCAGUGGGGAAUAUUGCACAAUGGGCGCAAGUCUGAUGCAGCCAUGCCGCGUGUGUGAAGAAGGCCUUCGGGUUGUAAAGCACUUUCAGCGAGGAGGCGGUACUCGCAGAAGAAGCACCGGCUAACGCCGUGCCAGCAGCCGCGGUAAUAC